CAAAACAGUUUUAGAGACUUGGAACCACCUGACCCCAUCCCGAACUCAGAAGUGAAACGAGUCAUCGCCUCCCGUUUUAGCAUACUGUUUGC
rnacentral:rRNA from 1 species